rnacentral:rRNA from 1 species
CGGCGGACGGGUGAGUAAUGCCUAGGAAUCUGCCUGGUAGUGGGGGACAACGUUUCGAAAGGAACGCUAAUACCGCAUACGACCUACGGGUGAAAGCAGGGGAUCUUCGGACCUUGCGCGAUUGAAUGAGCCGAUGUCGGAUUAGCUAGUUGGCGGGGUAAAGGCCCACCAAGGCGACGAUCCGUAACUGGUCUGAGAGGAUGAUCAGUCACACUGGAACUGAGACACGGUCCAGACUCCUACGGGGAGGCAGCAGCC